UGGUUCUCUUAGAAAGUUAAUUCAGAUUGUUGUUUAAAAUGGUAGACUAUGUUAUCAAUCAAAUUCAGAUUUGUUUUAAAAUCAAUCAAUGUUAUCAGGUUCAUCCCUUGUCUAUCUCCACAUCUUCUCUUUGGGUCAUUUAAGUUCUCCUCCAUUGGAAGUGAAGGAAUUUAAGGACAGCUUGACGUAGUGGCUCUAGGAGUGUUUAGAACAGCCCCUCCUCCAUCACUCUGAUCCCUCCCUCCUCCGGGACCAGCCCCAACACUGGACCAAGCACCCCCUAGUCUACCACACCCACUGGCAAGACCACCCGCCGAAGCUUCUGGGAAAUAUUAAGCAAUCAGACUCAUCUGAGCUGGGGAUCCCUCAGACGACAGACGACAUCGUGCAGGAGAAGGGGGAGGAGGGUCGGACACGUAGGAGACACAAGACGGAGAACGUGAAGCAGCAGUGGAGCCAGGAGAGGUCCAUGGCUGUAGGACUGGAGCAGGCCCAGAGGAGACGUGUCCCAGCUAUAGGAAGGGAACGUUGGGACCCUACACCCUCUGUAUCAGGUCACCUGUCAGCCCUGGAUUAUCUUCAUGGCUAAAGUUGGAUGCCCGUCCAUUCAGCAGUGCACCGCUGAUAUUGCCUCCCAGUUCCUGCUUCCUCCCAUCCUGACAGAGAUUGUCAAUCUGGUCAGCUCCCUGGCCAGUGACACCACUGUCAAAGUGUUCGAGAG